CCUACGGGAGGCAGCAGUGAGGAAUAUUGGUCAAUGGACGAGAGUCUGAACCAGCCAAGUAGCGUGAAGGAUGACUGCCCUAUGGGUUGUAAACUUCUUUUAUAUGGGAAUAAAAUGUUCCACGUGUGGGAUUUUGUAUGUCCCAUAUGAAUAAGGAUCGGCUAACUCCGUGCCAGCAGCCGCGGUAAUACGGAGGAACCGAGCGUUAUCCGGAUUUAUUGGGUUUAAAGGGAGCGUAGGUGGAUUGUUAAGUCAGUUGUGAAAGUUUGCGGCUCAACCGUAAAAUUGCAGUUGAAACUGGCAGUCUGGAGUACAGUAGAGGUAGGCGGAAUUCGUGGUGUAGCGGUGAAAUGCUUAGAUAUCACGAAGAACUCCGAUUGCGAAGGCAGCUCACUGGACUGCAACUGACACUGAGGCUCGAAAGUGUGGGUAUCAAACAGGAUUAGAUACCCGGGUAGUC
rnacentral:rRNA from 1 species